rnacentral:rRNA from 1 species
AUUGAACGCUGGCGGCAUGCCUUACACAUGCAAGUCGAACGGUAACGGGCCUUCGGGUGCCGACGAGUGGCGAACGGGUGAGUAAUACAUCGGAACGUGCCCGAUCGUGGGGGAUAACGAGGCGAAAGCUUUGCUAAUACCGCAUACGAUCUACGGAUGAAAGCAGGGGACCGCAAGGCCUUGCGCGGACGGAGCGGCCGAUGGCAGAUUAGGUAGUUGGUGGGAUAAAAGCUUACCAAGCCGACGAUCUGUAGCUGGUCUGAGAGGAUGAUCAGCCACACUGGGACUGAGACACGGCCCAGACUCCUACGGGAGGCAGCAGUGGGGAAUUUUGGACAAUGGGCGCAAGCCUGAUCCAGCCAUGCCGCGUGCAGGAUGAAGGCCUUCGGGUUGUAAACUGCUUUUGUACGGAACGAAAAGCCUUCUUUUAAUACAGGAGGGUCAUGACGGUACCGAAAGAAUAAGCACCGGCUAACUACGUG